rnacentral:rRNA from 1 species
GUGGGGAAUAUUGGACAAUGGGGGGAACCCUGAUCCAGCCAUGCCGCGUGUGUGAAGAAGGCCUUUUGGUUGUAAAGCACUUUAAGCGAGGAGGAGGCUACCGAGAUUAAUACUCUUGGAUAGUGGACGUUACUCGCAGAAUAAGCACCGGCUAACUCUGUGCCAGCAGCCGCGGUAAUACAGAGGGUGCAAGCGUUAAUCGGAUUUACUGGUCGUAAAGCGCGCGUAGGUGGCCAAUUAAGUCAAAUGUGAAAUCCCCGAGCUUAACUUGGGAAUUGCAUUCGAUACUGGUUGGCUAGAGUAUGGGAGAGGAUGGUAGAAUUCCAGGUGUAGCGGUGAAAUGCGUAGAGAUCUGGAGGAAUACCGAUGGCGAAGGCAGCCAUCUGGCCUAAUACUGACACUGAGGUGCGAAAGCAUGGGGAGCAAACAGGAUUAGAAACCCGGGUAGUCC